rnacentral:rRNA from 1 species
CUUACCAUGCAGUCGAACGAUGAAGCCCAGCUUGCUGGGUGGAUUAGUGGCGAACGGGUGAGUAACACGUGAGUAACCUGCCCUUGACUCUGGGAUAAGCCUGGCAAACUGGGUCUAAUACCGGAUACGAACGUCCACCGCAUGGUGGUUGUUGGAAAGAUUUAUCGGUCAUGGAUGGACUCGCGGCCUAUCAGCUUGUUGGUGAGGUAAUGGCUCACCAAGGCGACGACGGGUAGCCGGCCUGAGAGGGUGACCGGCCACACUGGGACUGAGACACGGCCCAGACUCCUACGGGAGGCAGCAGUGGGGAAUAUUGCACAAUGGGCGAAAGCCUGAUGCAGCGACGCCGCGUGAGGGAUGACGGCCUUCGGGUUGUAAACCUCUUUCAGUAGGGAAGAAGCGAAAGUGACGGUACCUGCAGAAGAAGCACCGGCUAACUACGUGCCAGCAGCCGCGGUAAUACGUAGGGUGCGAGCGUUAUCCGGAAUUAUUGGGCGUAAAGAGCUCGUAGGCGGUUUGUCGCGUCUGUCGUGAAAGUCCGGGGCUUAACCCCGGAUCUGCGGUGGGUACGGGCAGACUAGAGUGCAGUAGGGGAGACUGGAAUUCCUGGUGUAGCGGUGGAAUGCGCAGAUAUCAGGAGGAACACCGAUGGCGAAGGCAGGUCUCUGGGCUGUAACUGACGCUGAGGAGCGAAAGCAUGGGGAGCGAACAGGAUUAGAUACCCUGGUAGUCCAUGCCGUAAACGUUGGGCACUAGGUGUGGGGACCAUUCCACGGUUUCCGCGCCGCAGCUAACGCAUUAAGUGCCCCGCCUGGGGAGUACGGCCGCAAGGCUAAAACUCAAAGGAAUUGACGGGGGCCCGCACAAGCGGCGGAGCAUGCGGAUUAAUUCGAUGCAACGCGAAGAACCUUACCAAGGCUUGACAUGUUCUCGAUCGCCGUAGAGAUACGGUUUCCCCUUUGGGGCGGGAUCACAGGUGGUGCAUGGUUGUCGUCAGCUCGUGUCGUGAGAUGUUGGGUUAAGUCCCGCAACGAGCGCAACCCUCGUUCCAUGUUGCCAGCACGUAAUGGUGGGGACUCAUGGGAGACUGCCGGGGUCAACUCGGAGGAAGGUGGGGACGACGUCAAAUCAUCAUGCCCCUUAUGUCUUGGGCUUCACGCAUGCUACAAUGGCCGGUACAAUGGGUUGCGAUACUGUGAGGUGGAGCUAAUCCCAAAAAGCCGGUCUCAGUUCGGAUUGGGGUCUGCAACUCGACCCC